UACGAAGGGGGGCUAGCGUUGCUCGGAAUCACUGGGCGUAAAGGGUGCGUAGGCGGGUCUUUAAGUCAGGGGUGAAAUCCUGGAGCUCAACUCCAGAACUGCCUUUGAUACUGAGGAUCUUGAGUUCGGGAGAGGUGAGUGGAACUGCGAGUGUAGAGGUGAAAUUCGUAGAUAUUCGCAAGAACACCAGUGGCGAAGGCGGCUCACUGGCCCGAUACUGACGCUGAGGCACGAAAAGCGUGGGGGAGCAAACAGG
rnacentral:rRNA from 1 species